GCGAGCAGGGUUUCCUGCGGAAAAGAAGAAUUUGAAGCGAGACACAGAAGUGAGUAGUCACGUGUAAUUGCGGAGUUCGUAUUGCUACAUGUAGUAUAUUUAUGAAGUGUUUGAACACGGAUAUACAAUAAGCAUAAAAACUUGCGUUAAUUACAGUGUUUACAAAUUGUUUUUGCAUAAUUGUUACACGUUUGAUAAAAUUGUCAACUUUGCCCGGAAAAUGGCGAAAUUAACCCGGCAACAGAUAAAUUUAGCAAUUGUCCGAAAAAAUAGCCGUUUUUUGUGUGGAUAGCCACAUAGCACAUACACAUUGAUUUUUUUUUUUU
rnacentral:lncRNA from 1 species